rnacentral:rRNA from 1 species
GACGAACGCUGGCGGCGUGCUUAACACGUGCAAGUCGAACGGAAAGGCUCCAGCUUGCUGGAGUACUCGAGUGGCGAACGGGUGAGUAACACGUGGGUAAUCUGCCCUGCACUCUGGGAUAAGCCUGGGAAACUGGGUCUAAUACUGGAUAUGACCUUUCUCCUUAUGGGGUUUGGUGGAAAGUUUUUCGGUGUAGGAUGAGCCCGCGGCCUAUCAGCUUGUUGGUGGGGUGAUGGCCUACCAAGGCGACGACGGGUAGCCGGCCUGAGAGGGUGAUCGGCCACAUUGGGACUGAGAUACGGCCCAGACUCCUACGGGAGGCAGCAGUGGGGAAUAUUGCACAAUGGGCGGAAGCCUGAUGCAGCGACGCCGCGUGAGGGAUGACGGCCUUCGGGUUGUAAACCUCUUUCAGCAGGGACGAAGCGUAAGUGACGGUACCUGCAGAAGAAGCACCGGCUAACUACGUG